rnacentral:lncRNA from 1 species
CGAGCUGUACACCUCACGACCAAGAAGCUUGUUUAAAGCAGAAAAACCAGUCAAAAUAAUAGGCUGAUCAAGCCUCUGUAUACAACGCAUUCCAAGCCGAGUAAGAUAGGCACCAAUUCCUACAGUUCUGCCAGUCACAUAAGUUAAGGUAAAGGUUUCUUUGUAUGCCCUAGAAUAUGCACUGGCAAUGGCCCCACUUCCAGAUAAAUUCUCUACCCCCAGGCCAUCCUCCUUCCCCACAAUGGCAUCGAUCACCCAUCUUGUUUCUCCAUUCUCCAGCUUCAACUCAUGUGCUAUCACUGAUGAUCUGAUCCGAGCAUGAUCCAAAGGACUUAAAUAUACAUACUGAAAGCCACGAUCAGGGAAAAGUUCAUCUGACCAACCAACUUUAAAGCAGGAUUUGACUUCAUCAGCAACCCCAAUACGGGCACCUGAAUUUGCUGCCAAAUAAAUAAGUGGAAUUUUCUUAUUGCAGGCAAGAUCAGUCACUGCAAGAAAGAAUGCAUCCUCUCUUUGACCAAAAGAACCUGCUUUGAAGGUCACGUCAUUUGCUACUACCAAAAUAGUCCUUCCUAAAGGGAACUCAGGAGUUAGUAUUUCCAUGCACCAAGCUACCAUGCCAAAAUCAUUGAGCCCAGCUGGACGCUGUGUGGAAAUAAGAGGUGUGCCCCAGCUACCAUUUUCAUUAGCAAAUAUGAGCUCUGUCACCUUUAGAACUUUACCCUCAGGUUUUUCCAUGCCCGGGAAUUGGGAUGCCCAUAUUUGUUCCAAGACUGUCUCAAAAGCCUGAGAACAAAAAAAUAUGUCAGCAACAUAAUUUGACCCAUCAGUUAUUUUUGUGCCAAAAAAAUAACUUCUGUUGUUUUCAAGUACAUAAUGCAGGACUCACCAAUGGAAAAUCAUAGCAGUAAGUGGUGCUGCUUUUCCUUGCCAUUAGACGUUUUCGAUCAAGAGCUCCCAACGGUUGAUAGUGUGCAUUUACUGGUACAAGAUGCAGAGGACCCUGUACAGAGAUUGAAUGGUACACCACUCUGUGCUUGCUAGUAUCCUCUAAUUCCCGGUAUAUCUGAAUAUUAUAUCACCAGCUAGUUAUUUUUCAGAUGAAAGUAAAUUAUAUAAACGAGUGAAAAGAAUUACAGGAGCAAGUUGGAGAAUGAGCCAUCGUCACAUCAAACACCAUGAAACUGGGAUCCUUUUCCAUGAAAACUAGAUGUUUUAAACUGGUGCAGGAACCAAAUCCAAUACAUUGUUUGAAUAAUACCCCAAAAGUUACCAUGGUGGCAAUUUUCACACCAUAACUAUAUUGGUGCUAAACCCAAAAUUUGCUGACUUGCAACAGCAGCGAUAAAGAUUCCCACACUCAAAACUCAAUAUCCCAAACUAAACAAACCAAAUAUAGCCAUUAUUUCAUCUGAAAACUAUGGGUUAUGCCGGUUAUAGCCCAGGAUAACCAAAUGACAAAUCAACAAACUUAUGGUUAACUAGGGGUAAGCAAACCAAUUGGAAUAACUGGAUUAUUUAACUGGAUCAAACUAAAGAAACCAAAUAGGUUGAUUUCUCAAGUAUGUUGGGUAGGUUUGAUUUGAAACUUUCAUAAUAUUUAUUGAUUCGAUAAUUCAAUUCAAUGUUUCCAUGAGUUUUAUGAAAUUUAAAUUUAAGCUGGGGGCAGAUUUGGGCCAGCAACCUAACCCUGGUAUGGGCCAAUUCAGUGUUUCAGAAAAAAAAGGGCCUAUCCAUAAUUACCCUUUAAAAAAUGCGAUUUACAGUUUGGGCUAAAAAAUAACCAUACAGAAUCAACCCAAGAACAGUCAAUUUUUAGUUGUCAGUCGAGUUCUUUUUGAAAAUUCCAGUUUUUGCAAACUCGGUAUGGUAGUGUUUUCUCGGGUGAAAAGUGACCCGAAUGAACUGAUGCUCACCCCUAAUAUUAGUUUAACCAAGGGUUGUCUUCUGAAAUAUACUACCUUCAGGACAUGCAACAGAUGAUAUAUAUACUUACAUGCACAGCGCAUGUGUGACCAGUCACAUUUGCAACGACAACCCUCCAAGCACCAUUUGCCUGUCCAGAUGACGCCAUCCAGAGCUUCACUUCCCACUCGCAGACGCCGAGUCUAUGCAUUCUCACACCAACAAAUGCAUGGAUUUCCCUAGCCAACCCUUCCAAGAUUGCC